AUGGCUUCACAAAAGUAUGGAGCCCAAUGCCUUAUUUUUGAGACUCGCUGGGAGCGUCAAGCAGAGGCGACUUCAAUCAAUUGCCUGAAACCAUCAACUCCUCCUCUUCUUCUACCUCCUCCUCUUCUUCCUCCUUUCUCCCUCUCUUCUUCUCCCUCCUCAUUUUUCUUCUUGUUCUCAUUCUUCCUCCCCCCUUUUUUUUAUUCAUUUUUCUCCUCCUUUCUCCUUCUUCCGCUUCCUUUUCCUCCUUCCCUUUUUCCUCUUCUUUCUCUUCUUCUCCUUGUUCUUCCUCCUUUCUCUUCUCAUUUUUCUCCCUUUCUCCUUCUUCCUUUUUUUUCUUCUCCUCAUUUUCUUCUUCCUCCUUUUUUCUUUUUCUUCUUCCUCCCCCUCCCCCUCUUAUUUCUCUUCUUCUCCUUGUUCUUCCUCUUUUCCUUCCUUCACUUUUCUUUUAUUCCUCCUCCUUUUUCAUUCUUCUUCCUCCUGUUCUUUCUUCUCGUCCUCUUCCUCCUCCACUCUUCUUCUUCCUCCUCUUUUCCCCUUCUUCUCCUUGUUUUUCCUCCUCAUUCUCUUCUCAUUUUUCUUCUUUAUUUUCUUUUUUCUCUUCUUCCUCCUACUCCCCUUUUUUCUCUUCUUCUUGCUCUUCCUCCUCCUUCCUCCUCUUUUAUUCCUCCUCUUCCCCAUCCUUCCCUUCUUCCUCUCCCUUUUUCCUCCUCUUUCUGUUCUUCUUGUUCUUCCUCCUCUUUUUGUUCUCAUUUUUCUUCUUUCUCCUUCCUUCUUGUUCUUCUUACUCAUCCUACUCUUUCUCUUUUUCUCCUCUUCUUCUCCUUGUUCUUCCUCCUCGUCCUCUUUCUCUUCUCCUUAUUUUUCUCCCACUGCCUCCUCUCCUUCUUUCUUUUCUGUUCUUCUUCCACAUUUUCUUCUCUUUGUUCUUAUUUUCUUCUCCUCUUUCUCUUCUCCAUAUUUUUCUUCUUUCUCCUCUUUCUUCUUCCUCCUCCUUGUUUUUUAUUUUCUUCCUCCUGCUGCUUUCUCUUCUGCUUAUUCUUCUUCCUCGUCCUCUUCCUCCCCCUCCUCUUUCUCUUCUCCUUAUUCUUCUUCCUCCUCUUUCUUUUUCCUCAUUCCUCCUCCUCCUCUCUCCCCCUCUUCCUUCUCUUUGUUCUUCUUCCUUCUCCUCUUCUCCUUGUUCUUGCAUUCUUUUUCCUGCUCCUCUUCCUCUUCUCCUGGUUCUUCCUCCUAUUCUCCUUCCUCUGCUUUUCUUUUAUUCCUCCUCCUUUUUCUUUCUUGUUCCUCUUGUUCUUCUUCUCGUCCUCCUCUUCCUCUUCCCCCUAUUCUUAUUCCUCCUCUUUUUCCCCUUCUUCUCCUUGUUCUUUCUCUUCAUUCUCCUCAUUUUUCUUCUUCAUUUUCUUUUUCUUUCUUCUCCUCUUCUUCCUCCUACUCCCUUUUUUUCUUCUUGUUCUUCCUCCUCCUUCCUCCUCUUUUUAUUCCUUACUCUUUUUCUCCUCCUUUUUUCUCCUUAUUCUUCCACUUCCUCCUCCUCUUCUUCCUCCUUCUUUUUCUUUUUCCUCCUAUUCUUCCUCCUCUUCUUCUUGUUCUUAUUUUCUUGCUCCUCCUCUUUCUUUUCUCCUUAUUCUUUUCCUCCCCCUCUUCUUCUCCUUGUUCUUAUUUUCUUCUUCCUCCUCUUUCAUCCUCCUCCUCUCUCCCUCUUCUUCUCCUUGUUCUUCCUCCUCUUCUCCUUGUUCUUCUUUUCCUCCUCCUUCUCUUCAAUUUAUUCUUCUUUCUCCCCUUUCUUUUUCCUCAUUCCUAUUCCUCCUCCCCCUCCUCUCUCCCCCUCUUCUUCCCCUUGUUCUUCUUCCUUCUCCUCUUCUCCUUGUUCUGGCCUUCUUUUUCCUGCUCCUCUUCCUCUUCUCCUGGUUCUUCCUCCUCUUCCUGCUCCCCUUCUUCUUCCUCUGCUGCUAUGCUGCCUCUUCCUCCCUUCUGCCUCUCGGCCUGGCUCAGCCGCGAAGCCUCGGCGCGGCGGGAGGAGCGGCGCUGCCUAUAAGAUCUGCCAUUAUCGGCUUCCAAGUCAUAACAAACGCGCGGAGAACACCCACCUCGCUGGGACGGCCGGCUGCGAGGGAAACCCGGAGCGCGGAUCCCGCGGACGGGAAGGAAGGGAAGGGGAAGGAAAGCCUACGAGGGGUUUAG
ensembl:lncRNA